UAACAUUAAAUAAAAUUAUUUCUUUACACAAAAACGAAAUGGUCCAUUUAAUGCAAAAAGCAAUAUGUUGGGUUCCACUCAGUUGCAAAAUCAAUGCAAGAAUCAAGUGAUAGUGCAAUUAGAGGCUGUGGAUUGGAGGAGUAAACACAAGAAAAUUAGUGCAACCAAAAAGUUGACAUCUUUUUGCUUUAUGACUUAAAUCCAAGAUUUGGAGCUACACUUUUUGGCCUAAUAACAAGUCUUCUUCAAUUCUGGAAGCCACCAGUGCGCAGACAGAUUGCUACUCUCUAUUUUGUUCUCUUUUUAGCUUGGCCGCCAUUCAUGAAUCUUAGCCAUUCCUCU
rnacentral:lncRNA from 1 species